UACGUAGGGUGCAGGCGUUAAUCGGAAUUACUGGGCGUAAAGCGUGCGCAGGCGGUUUGCUAAGACAGGUGUGAAAUCCCCGGGCUUAACCUGGGAACUGCGCUUGUAACUGGCAAGCUAGAGUGUGGCAGAGGGGGGUGGAAUUCCGACGUGUAGCAGUGAAAUGCGUAGAGAUGUGGAGAACACCGAUGGCGAAGGCAGCCCCCUGGGACUAACACCUGGCGCUCAUGCACGAAAGCGUGGGGAGCAAACAGGAUUAGAAACCCCGA
rnacentral:rRNA from 1 species